rnacentral:rRNA from 1 species
UACGUAGGGGGCUAGCGUUGUCCGGAUUUAUUGGGCGUAAAGAGCGUGUAGGCGGCCAGGUAGGUCUGCUGUGAAAACUCGAGGCUCAACCUCGAGAUGUCGGCGGAAACCAUCUGGCUAGAGUCCGGAAGAGGAGAGUGGAAUUCCUGGUGUAGCGGUGAAAUGCGCAGAUAUCAGGAAGAACACCCGUGGCGAAAGCGGCUCUCUGGGACGGUACUGACGCUGAGACGCGAAAGCGUGGGGAGCGAACAGG